UACGAAGGGUGCAAGCGUUACUCGGAAUUACUGGGCGUAAAGCGUGCGCAGGCGGUUCGCUAAGACCGAUGUGAAAUCCCCGGGCUUAACCUGGGAACUGCAUUGGUGACUGGCGGGCUAGAGUAUGGCAGAGGGGGGGUAGAAUUCCACGUGUAGCAGUGAAAUGCGUAGAGAUGUGGAGGAAUACCGAUGGCGAAGGCAGCCCCCUGGGCCAAUACUGACGCUCAUGCACGAAAGCGUGGGUAGCAAACAGG
rnacentral:rRNA from 1 species